rnacentral:rRNA from 1 species
UGCCAGCCGCCGCGGUAAGACGAACCGUACAAACGUUAUUCGGAAUCACUGGGCUUAAAGCGUGCGUAGGCGGCUCGGCAAGUUGGGUGUGAAAUCCCUCGGCUCAACCGAGGAACUGCGCCCAAAACUGCCAGGCUUGAGGGAGAUAGAGGUGAGCGGAACUCAUGGUGGAGCGGUGAAAUGCGUUGAUAUCAUGAGGAACACCGGUGGCGAAAGCGGCUCACUGGGUCUUUACUGACGCUGAGGCACGAAAGCUAGGGGAGCGAACAGGAUUAGAUA